rnacentral:misc_RNA from 1 species
GAUGAAGAACGCAGCGAAAUGCGAUAAGUAAUGUGAAUUGCAGAAUUCAGUGAAUCAUCGAAUCUUUGAACGCACCUUGCGCCCUUUGGCUAUUCCGAAGGGCAUGCCUGUUUGAGUAUCAUGAACACCUCAACUCUCAUGGUUCGCCAUGAUGAGCUUGGACUCUGGGGGUCUUGCUGGCCUAUGGUCAGCUCCUCUCAAAUAAAUCAGCUUGCCAGUGUUUGGUGGCAUCACAGGUGUGAUAACUAUCUACGCUUGUGGUUUUCCAUCAGGUAACCUUCAGUGAUGGAGGUUCGCUGGAGCUCAUAAAUGUGCCUCCUCAGCGAGGACAGCUUUUUGAACGUUUGAUCUCAAAUCAGGUAGGACUACCCGCUGAACUUAAGCAUAUCAAUAAGCGGAGGA